UUUGUUUACGUGAGGAGGCCACGUCCCUCCAGUUAGUUAGCCGUCUCAGACAAGCCAUGUGCAGGAGAGGCUGAAGAGAGAGUAUAAGUAUUGUAUUACCUCACCGAUUCUGGGCAUGAAAAAUGA